rnacentral:rRNA from 2 species
GAUUGAUUUUGGUCGCCAACGAGUGGCGGACGGGUGAGUAACACGUAGGUAACCUGCCCAGAAGCGGGGGACAACAUUUGGAAACAGAUGCUAAUACCGCAUAACAGCGUUGUUCGCAUGAACAACGCUUAAAAGAUGGCUUCUCGCUAUCACUUCUGGAUGGACCUGCGGUGCAUUAGCUUGUUGGUGGGGUAACGGCCUACCAAGGCGAUGAUGCAUAGCCGAGUUGAGAGACUGAUCGGCCACAAUGGGACUGAGACACGGCCCAUACUCCUACGGGAGGCAGCAGUAGGGAAUCUUCCACAAUGGGCGCAAGCCUGAUGGAGCAACACCGCGUGAGUGAAGAAGGGUUUCGGCUCGUAAAGCUCUGUUGUUAAAGAAGAACACGUAUGAGAGUAACUGUUCAUACGUUGACGGUAUUUAACCAGAAAGUCACGGCUAACUACGUGCCAGCAGCCGCGGUAAUACGUAGGUGGCAAGCGUUAUCCGGAUUUAUUGGGCGUAAAGAGAGUGCAGGCGGUUUUCUAAGUCUGAUGUGAAAGCCUUCGGCUUAACCGGAGAAGUGCAUCGGAAACUGGAUAACUUGAGUGCAGAAGAGGGUAGUGGAACUCCAUGUGUAGCGGUGGAAUGCGUAGAUAUAUGGAAGAACACCAGUGGCGAAAGCGGCUACCUGGUCUGCAACUGACGCUGAGACUCGAAAGCAUGGGUAGCGAACAGGAUUAGAUA